rnacentral:rRNA from 1 species
GUGAGGAAUAUUGGUCAAUGGGCGGGAGCCUGAACCAGCCAAGUCGCGUGAAGGAAGAAGGAUCUAUGGUUCGUAAACUUCUUUUGCAGGGGAAUAAAGUGCAGGACGUGUCCUGUUUUGUAUGUACCCUGAGAAUAAGGAUCGGCUAACUCCGUGCCAGCAGCCGCGGUAAUACGGAGGAUCCGAGCGUUAUCCGGAUUUAUUGGGUUUAAAGGGUGCGUAGGUGGUUUGAUAAGUCAGCGGUGAAAGUUUGCAACUUAACUGUAAAAAUGCCGUUGAAACUGUCGGACUUGAGUGUAAAUGAGGUAGGCGGAAUGCGUGGUGUAGCGGUGAAAUGCAUAGAUAUCACGCAGAACUCCGAUUGCGAAGGCAGCUUACUAAGCUACAACUGACACUGAAGCACGAAAGCGUGGGGAUCAAACAGGAUUAGAAACCCUGGUAGUCC